UACCGGAUCCGGGUCUGCCACCAAACCCACCCUCUCCUUCCCUCGCACGCUUCGCCCCAAUGGCAACACCGAACAAUCGAGGAGUCAUUUCUUCCUCUAUCAUCAUCUCGCUGGAGAACUGCUUCUCCGGGAACCGAUUCAGAGGUUUGUCCGUUUGCGAAACAUUUCCGAAAAUAUUGUUAGUAUAGUUUGACGAUAUCAGAGCGAAGAUGUUGUUGCAAAGAGUCUUCAUCCGGUUAAGUUCUCGAUUAAGCUCCACGUUCUCUUUCCUUAAUCUUUCAUUUUCAUCUAUCAGUCCGGCAGUAUUACUGGUGGCAUGUGGUGUGGUCGUGGUCGCCGGGGGCGAGUUCGACGAGAUCAAUCGUUCGUCAGCACAAUUUGACGACGAUACCGGCGAGAUCGGGGCCGUCGAAGAGAUUCUCCGCCGUUGUAUGUCGCAUAAAA
rnacentral:lncRNA from 1 species